rnacentral:lncRNA from 1 species
GCCCCUUGGCCCCAGUGCUCAUUCCUGGCCAUCACAGGCCCAGAGCACAUGACGAAACCCAUCCCAAGCCCCCAGACCAGACGCCAAGAGGAGGGGGUGGAGGCAGCAAGGCUGGAGGCAUGUGUAGAAUAAAUAGAACUUUAUUCUUUAUCCAGUAGAUCUCAGUGGAAAGCCCAACAGUAACAGGUGCACCCACGGGCUCCAGGGGAAGGGGCCCCAACCCCUGGUGAAGGAGGUCGGGGCAGAGCCAGCUCCCCCAGCUGGGGGUGCAGGGGUGAGGGGAGACCCCCCUGUAGGCCCGUCCUGCGGGGUAAGGAGGGGGCAGGGGGGAGGUUGAGGUUCCCCAGCUGGGGAGCAAUGGCUUGUGAGUUCUGAGGAUGGGGGAGCCAAGUCCUGGCGUUUGCUGGUGAUGAAGAUGUGGUGAGCUGG